rnacentral:lncRNA from 1 species
CCUGUAAGGAGCAGAGACAAUAAUCUAACCUGGAUUCUCUGACUGGAAGAUUUGUUCUCUUGCUACUGCAUCAGACUUGGAGCACCACACCUGUGGCCACUCUUUCUCUGUCACCCCUCAUACUGAAAGGACAAGUACUUCAUACAUAAUGCCAAAUGUGAGAGCGGGAGGAUUAUGCAUCUUCAGUCACUGCUGUGGAACUUUCG